CCCUACGGGGGGCAGCAGUGAGGAAUAUUGGUCAAUGGGAGAGAUCCUGAACCAGCCAAGCCGCGUGAGGGAAGACGGCCCUAUGGGUUGUAAACCUCUUUUGUCGGAGAACAAAACCCGGGACGAGUCCCGGACUGCGCGUAUCCGUAGAAAAAGCAUCGGCUAACUCCGUGCCAGCAGCCGCGGUAAUACGGAGGAUGCGAGCAUUAUCCGGAUUUAUUGGGUUUAAAGGGCGCGCAGGCGGCGAGUUAAGUCAGCGGUAAAAUUUCGGG
rnacentral:rRNA from 1 species